rnacentral:rRNA from 1 species
GACAGAGGUGCCGAGCGUUAGGCGGAAUCACUGGGCUUAAAGCGUGUGUAGGCGGGCCGUUAAGUGCCCCGUGAAAUCCCCCGGCUCAACCGGGGAACGGCGGGGCAUACUGGCGGCCUUGAGCCACUUAAGGGCAGACGGAACAAGCGGUGGAGCGGUGAAAUGCGUAGAGAUGCGGAGGAACACCGAUGGCGAAGGCAGCCCCCUGGGCCGACAUUGACGCUCAGGCACGAAAGCGUGGGGAGCAAACAGG